UACAGAGGGUGCGAGCGUUGUCCGGAAUCACUGGGCGUAAAGGGCGCGUAGGCGGUUUUUCAAGCGUGCGGUGAAAGCUCAGGGCUUAACCCUGAGUCGGCCGUGCGAACUGGAAGACUGGAGCACGGUAGAGGCACAUGGAAUUCCGGGUGUAGCGGUGGAAUGCGUAGAGAUCCGGAAGAACACCGGUGGCGAAGGCGGUGUGCUGGGCCGUUGCUGACGCUGAGGCGCGACAGCGUGGGGAGCAAACAGGAUUAGAAACCCCCGUAGUCC
rnacentral:rRNA from 1 species